AUUUGUGGAAACUAAAAAUCAAAAUAAUUAAACUCAUGGAGAUACAGAGUAGAAUGGUAGUUACCAGAGGCUUGGAAGUGAAGUGGGUGUAGGGAGGAAAAGGGAUGGUUAAUGAGUACAAAAAUAUAGUUAGAUAGAAUAAAUAAGAUGUAGUAUUUGAUAGCACAACAGUAUUAUUAAUGACAAUGGUAAAGGAAUCAGAGCUGUUAUUUUCUAGGAAUGAAUGUGUUAAUGGAGUGAACAUCAACAGCAGAUUUCCAUGGUAACCUACAGACUUCAAAAACUGUUAAUUUCUAACACAUGAACAACUUCUGGAAGGUCACGUACGUGUGUAUGUGUGUGUAUGUGUGUACAAUGUGUUUUAUAAAUUUACAUUAUUGAGUCAUUGAUCGCUUGCAGUGUGUUAGCAGCUUUAGAAAAGGUAGUGAUACGGAGCUCAAGGACACUAAAUUCCUAUAUCAAGGGUUUCUUAACAUUAAUCACUUUUUCUCUCUUCAAAAACCAAGUAAAAUGACCUCUUGAAAUAGCUGUAGUAUAAUCCAAUUUACAGUUUCAUAGAAAAUGUCAAAGAAAAACGUCUAUUUUGUUCCUGUUCUCCAUAAGUAAUAAUAUAUCUCAUCUGAAGGCUCUAGGAGAAAAAAAAGGAAUAAAAUAAAAGCAACUGAUAUCUCUGCCAAAAUAUGUGAUCUGUGGAAGCAAGUUCAACAAUAGUGGUAACUAAUAUAAAAUAACUUGAAACAAGUUUAAUCAGUUGUAAAUUAUGUAUCUGAAGUUAUUGUAUUUGUAGUUCAUAUUAAUAGUCUAGAUUUGAGAAAUAUCUCUUUAAUGCACAUUGAUGGCUUGAAAUAACAUCUAUGGUUUUUUUCCUUCUCUUUGUCAUUCUGACAUUUUUCCUCCUUCCUUCUUUACCUUUUGAUUUUGAAUCAUGAAAUUUCCAAUUUGAAACCAUAUUUGACCUAUUAAAACAGCAGUUUUGUAUGGUUCAAAGUACAUAAGACAUGAAAUAAUUCUUAGGUGAUAUUUCAAGACAAUAAUCUGAUGUUAAUUUCCCAAAUAUCAAGAUGGUAUUUAAUCAUAUUUCUAAAGAUCUUCCACUGAAAGGUGUCUUGUACUAUGAGCUACAUGUAAGAUAUAGGCUAGUUGCUAAGUGAGCAGAAACAGUAUAAUUAGGGUUAUAGUGGUAUGCGGGUCAGGAAUAUAGCAUGAUUUUUAAAUCCUUGCAUUAUUUUGUAAUGCAUGUAUGCUGAAGAAGGUUAAGAAAGGCACCGGGAAUUCGUGUCCACUCUUCUAACCAUUGCAUUAUUGGCCCUAACCUAUUAAACUAUAUGUUUACCUGAGAUAUAUAAAGAAAUGCUGUCAAUGUAAGUAUACUUCCAAAUUCUUCUUUUCUGCUGAUUCACCAAUUCAAGAAGUACUUUCUCACAUGUGCUCGGGAUGUAGUCUGCCAGGUCCAAGCUGGCCUUCUUGAAUUGCUACCGUGCCACUUCCUUUGGUGACUGAGACUCAAGAGAUCCAUUUUGCUCCUCUCUAUUCAAAAGGAUUUCUCUGGAAAUUCUGCUACCUUGGUAUAAAAUCCAAAACUCAUACAUGACCCCUGGAACUUAGGAUAUUCCUCACCACUGCCUGAUUAUCACAUAUCCCAGGAUCUUGACAUAUCUCCACACAAGUUCUCAGUGUGAAUAACAUUGGCUGUAGCAGCUAUGGUCAAUGUCAUUGUCACUGAGAACUUGCAGGCCUGUUUUGCUGUUCCCUUCCAGCCUAUCUCCACAUAGCUAAGAAUGGCUGGCCACCCCCAUUAGGACUAGAAGGAGGAAGAUUUUCCCCAUCCCUAGGCCAAAGAGCCACAAACUAGAAUCCAUUUUAUUUUAGGGGAAAUACUCUCAUUACCCAGUAAUAUACGCUCUUAUUCUGCAGUUUCAACAAGACAUUAACAACACUGUAUGUACAAUCUCCUACCUUUGGGCCUCAUCUUUAGCCUUCUUGUUUACAGAAUCACAGAAUUUUGGUCCUCAGCAAUAAUUAUAGUUUGUCUUUCUUAUUUUAAAGGUGAGGAAUUCAAAGACCACCAUGUUGCUGUUUUCCCUUACAACUAUAUUGAGGCUUGGUCAGGAUUUGUGUAGAAAGCGCACAGCAGGACUGAGCCUAUGCAUUCAAAGUCUUGAGUACCCCUACAAAGGAAGAGGACACAAACGAAAAAUGUUCCCUCAUACCAAGGAUUGUCCUGAAAUCCAAGACCGUAUUUUAUGAGAUAAGUUAAAAAUCACAUUACUAAUUACCAAUAUUGAGUAAAUUAAGGGGAAGAAUAUUACAUUAUGAAACUAACCAAAUAGCAUAAUCUUAUUGCUAAUUCCCCCUCUCCAUUGUUUUACUGCCUAUAUGAUUCAUGACAUUUAUAAAGCAGAUCCAGGAUUACCUCAAAAGUGCUUUUAAAAGUGAAAGAAUGCUUUUAAAAUGAAAAAACAAAAAACGAAAAAAAAAAACCAAGGAAAAGAAUUAUUUUAUUCUCCUCUUGGUGGAGAGUAGAACUGAAUAAUUACGGUGAGAUGCUGCCUUUAUCUCUACUGGAGGUUGUUGGAGUCACACUGGAGCUAAGAACUAGGGACCACAUCCUGGCCUUUGAUUUGAGGACCCUCUUGUGCAUGUUUAAUUUCCCACAACUCCAGAAUCACUUAUAACAUUGCAACUUUUCAUAUGUAAAAGUAAAAUUAAUAAACAUGUGUUACUCUUUAUGUUUGGGUUUCUUAGAAGACAUACAUCAGAGAGAGAGAGAUUACAGUAUGCAAUCUCUCAGCUGCCAACAGAACACAGAUGGGCUUGGGAACACAGAAUGAUCCAGAUCCGCAGGACUCGAGCAAUCCGUGGGAAGUUUGGACAGAAGAUCUGAUGCAUCAGACAGUAAAGGACUAUUGAAUGUUCCAUGAUAAAUGUGCUUGUUCUUUUGCCUGCAUGCCCUUGAAUAAAGACAUUUUGAUCUCCAGGGCCAACCUGAGAAACAUAUAAUUUAAUCUAGUUUUGAAAGAAGAGCCCUGCUACACAAACACUGGCUCACAAUGUUAAAAGAUAUCAACUGAAAUAUUGAAGGGCUUUCAUAUUUCAGUAAAUUGACUAUCCUAUGUGUUUGAUAUUUCCAUUUAAUUGAAUAUUUCUUAACUCAGUGAAAAAUGUAUGAGCCUGCUAUGAUAAAUUCAGUAUUGCAUAUGGGAAUUUCAAGUAUCUUUUAUUGAAUCUUAUUUCUUGAUCUCUCUCCUUUCAAAGAGAGAUACAAAAAGACCGUUAGCCUGCUUGCUUCUGUUUUUUUCUGCCCCAUCUCCACCUUUAUUCCCAAACUGUGGUUCACACAUUUAUUUCCAUUUUUAAAAAUUUUCUCUUGCUGCUGCCAUUCUCUUAUUACUCAUUUUUUAAAUACCUAGUCCACUUUCUUUACUUUUCUUUAAUGUCUGCCUCAGAGCUCAGCUUUUUUAGUUAAUUGACGAUAUCACUAGCCUUUAGUUCUGAGAGACUGAAUACACAGUCACACCACACAUAGAAAUAGAAUUCUAACCCACAAACUGCAAUAACCAGAGCAAGACCACAGCCUCCACGGCAAUUAGCCCAAAACGGUCAGUACCUGAUCAAUAAUGGACAACUUUCACAAUUUUUAGCUGCCUUCCUCUACUUCCAACUUUGGACCAACUGAAGAAAGACAAAUAUGCUGCCUAAUCACCCUCAUAGGAUACUUUUCUUUCAGUUAUCGGGCUUCCGACUCCUUUAUACCAAUAGCCUUCAAUCAAGCAGACCCGAAGUCUUCCCUUUUUUCCAUUCUAAAGCUUUCCUACUCCUCUGCCUGCCUUUGAGUCUCUGCCAAACAUAAAUAAUGGCGAUUGACUUCCUUACUAUGCUAGCUCUGAAUAAAUAUCCUUUUCUUGUUCGCAUCUGGGUACACUUCAUUUGUUUCCAUAGUUCUUUCAUUCUGUGAACUAUCCAAUUAAAAACUUUUUAAAAUAAAUACCAUGCUCUUGGCUUUUCUGCAAUCAUCAACUCUCUUUAGCUUCUUCCUUCAAUUCCACACCUUAUCCAGAUGCAAGCUAGCUUUUAGGAAGUUUUAGGAGGUACUUUUUCACUACAUAUAUUUUAUUUGACUGAAAAAUGAUAAAAUAUCAUUUAAAUUGAAUGUACACCAACUGUGGCUCCUGAAUAAUAAAAACAUAAAUUUGUAUCCAUAAGCAUAAUAGGACAUUUAAUAAUCCUUGUUACAUAUAUUGAUGAACAUAUUCUGUAAAGUCAUUUAGUCUUGUGCCAAAUAGAAACUAUAAAAAUAUAAUGAGCUUUUUGUCAAAAACUGUUAUGUAAGGCCUUGGAAGUUUCUAGUAGUUCAGUGCUUUCUAUUCCAUUCACGUUUUUGUUGAAAUAAAAUGGAAAAGAAAAUAACCUUGUAUAUGCAUAUUAGAACUAACAGGUAAGGGUUUCCAUGGAUACUUUUAUGCAGCCAAAGGGUUCGUGUGUGGAAAAAGGCAUUCAUUUCUAGUUCUAAGAGAUUCUGUUCUGAUAAGGAACUCCUGCCAAUCAUUUUAUGUCUUGACUUUCUAACAGAAUAAAAAUAAUAUAUAUCAUGUGUGUUAUGUGUAAGUCAUGAGAUAGUUCUAUCUAAAUAACCUUUUCAAUCAUCUGGCCUAUUCGAGUAAUACCUUGGAAUUUUGUUAAAGCUUGGAAAAUCUACGAAGAUUUUGUAAGCAACUUUUAAUGAGUUUAUUGCUUUCUAGAUAUGUUCGAGGAAUCUUUUUUCUCUCUUUUUCUUGGUCAUACUUAGGCAGUUUAAAUUAACCAACUACUAGUGCUAGAAUAAAAGUUUAUCUUUUACUUAAAAUAGCUUUGUUAUCUUUUAUCUUUAAUUUUACCUUUAAUUUUUACCUUUUUAUCUUUAAUUUUAUCUUGAAGAAAUUUCAAAUAUCUUUGAUUGAAUCUUAUUAGUUAAUAUCCUACCCAAAUGAAAUUUUCUGCAAGUUUUCUUUUUAUCUUUUUGAGAAACAUGUCAAAAAAGAUUUCACACCAUGAAACUGCUAGGUUAAAUUUUAAGCCAUACAGUUUUAUGAGAAGCUUGAUGAGGUUCUGUGACCUUUUAAUGAGCGAAUUCAUUCUAAACAACAUGUUUUAAAUGUAGCACUAUUGUUUUACACUGACUUGCGCCUAAGCAAUUAUAAAUUGUGAGCAUGGCCUGUAGAAUUGUUUUUAAAUAAAUAAUCUGAAAAAUCAUUUGAUCUUAGAUUUAAGAGUGAACUCUCAAAUACGGUUUGUUUUUACUAGUUAACAUAGACUCUGGAUAGCAGUGAAGUGUAAAUCAUGAUCAGAAUGGUAAACAAAGAGGCAAUUAAAAUAUCACUCAACUUCCAAACUGAUUAAAUAAUAAAUUUUUGCAACAAA